UACCUACGAAAACUGUGCGAUUCCCUCGCCUGGGAGCGCGCCACGUCGCCGGCCGCUCCCGACCGUCGGAUCGGGCGCACGGACUGUCCAGAUCGUGCGAGCCCCGGCUAUUUUGCAAAAAAACCCUCAAAGUUUGAUGAAAUCAACCCGCGGUCCGGGUCCCCUCUCUCCUCCCUUCCCUUAUCCUCUUCCCACUCUCCUCUCCGGUGGCGGACGGCGCUGCAGGGCCCGCGCAAGAUGCAGCAGCGGGCGAGCGCGGCCGGACGCAGCGGCAGGCGGCAGUGUAGGGUGCCGCUGUGCAGCGGGGUGGCCGGGCGCAACGUCCAGGCCGCUCUCCUUCCCUCUCUUCCCCUACAAGCGGGGCCAGGCACGGUGGCCAAGCACGACCGGCGCGGCUCCGCGAGGGCCACGAAGGCCGGGCGUGGUGGCGGGGCCGCACCCUCCCUCCCAUCCCCUACAAGCGGGACCGGGCACGGCGGCGGCCAAGCGUAGCCGGCGCGGCUGGGCAGGGCUGCGCGGGGCGGGGUACUGCGGCCGGACGCAGCGCGGGGCCCGUAGCCGACCGGGGCAGCGGGCAUGGCUGCAGUAGGCGUCGCUGCGGCGCGACAAGCGAACGGGGCACCGGGCCCUGCACAGCCGCCGGCGCGACGCAGGCAGCAGGGGCCCGGCGCAGCGGGCAGCGGCGUGGAGGCUCAGCGAGGGUGGGCGCGACUGGCAAUGAAGGUGGCGUCGGGCCACGCCGGAGGUCGAGGUGGACGGUCGCACGUGCUGGCGUCCGCCUCCGCUCCCGUCCGCGGCGCUCCCGUCUACACCCGUGACCUUGCUCCGCCGCCGCCCGCCCCCUGCCUUGUCGCCGCCCCUGCUCUGCCGCUUGCCCGCCCCUACCUCGCCGCCCUCAUCGGUGUCCCGCGCCGUCGCCGCUGACCCGGCCGCGGCCCCGUCCCGUUCGCUGCCCCGGGCACCUCCACCUACGGCUCACCCUGCUCUCGCUCGGCUUGCCCUCGGCGGAGCGGCCUCUGCUCCUUCGUCCCAUAUGGUGCCGAGGCCGAGCCAGCUCGCUCCGCCUCACCCCUGCCCCCCGCCUGCUGCUCCUCUGCCUGCGCCAGCGGCCAUGCUCCGGCGACCCCACCCGCAGAGCCCUGGCCCCCAGCGGCGGCGGAUCGGUGGGUUGCAGCCGCGCCGGGCUCCACCACGCUUUGCGCGCGGCGUCAUGGUGGAUCUGCAGCACCUUGGCCACUACCUCCCAUUCUCCUCGCGACGGUCGCCAUGGAGCGCGGCGGAGCCAGAACUUCCCAGCCGGUCCGUGGUGGACCUCAUCCAUCCUGUGGCUGCAGGUCGUCUAGCUACGAUUAACUACAGGUCUGAUGCUGGUGCACGCUCUGUGCUUGCGUAAAUGCCCCAACGAAUUUGAAGACCCGCACAGGCUGAGCAUCACACCCUCUGUUCGUUUUUCUGUGGUUUGUGCAGAUCAGUAGAGGGAUCAAGAAAAUGGUCCAAAUCGAAACUACAGAUGAGAAUAUGAGAUUGAGAUGCUGUGUCAUGCAGGUCUGAGCUUCCCACUCAGGACUGCAGAUCUGAUAAAAAUCUUUAGCCUUCUGUUAUUGUGAAGAAUCUGAUUAGCUAGCAACAUGUGCUUAUUGGAUUCCACAGUGGAGAAAAAACAUUUCUUUUACAGGUUCUUGAUCUUGCAUGCCAUCGCAGCUGCUAGCAAAGGUGUCAAGCUCUGUUUUUCUCUGUUUCUCUUGUGCAGCCUUAAAUUCGUUUGAUUUUCAGAUUUAUAUGAUGAAUAAGCUGAUACAACCAAGACGAGCUACAUGUUAUCUACCAUUAGCAGCGCCAAUUAACUACUAAUAUGUUUGCUUGGAGUACAGUUCUUUUAUUAUUUACUGCACCAUCCCUCCAGUGGCCAUAGUCGACAUUACCUCCACUGCCAACAAGGUGUUCGACAAAAUGCCAAGCUCCCAAGCGUAUAGCAUCUUUUAUUUAUGAAGAUUCACUUUGCAAUCUGUGUUUCGUAUUCUGCAGUGAGGAUAAUGUUGGAGCUUACUAUUAGUAGAUGACAACUUAUGACAACUUGAUUGUUUCAAGUGUUUACUCUUGUGGAUGAUGGAAAACCAAUACGAAAAAGGUGGAAGAGGAGCAAGAAUGCCUCUUUGUAUAAAAAACGAAGCAAAAAGAAAAAAAUAAAAGGAUCAAGAGCAACGUCUGCAAUACAAAAUUUACCAAUGAUGCCCACAUAUAGUGCACAACUCUAAUCUUCAGAGGCUCCUCUUGCAUUCAUUCUUCGAAGGAUUUUCAUGAUUUUCUAUGAAGCAACCUCUUCAAUUGCGCAAUAAAGAUUUAAAAUGAAUCUAUCAAAAAGUGGUAUGUUAAGUAGUAUAUCUAUAUCUGAAACUCUUGUAUGCUCCAACCGUUUAAUCGGCAACUGCAUAUCCACUGCAAGAUUGUAAGUAUACAUAAAUAAACAUAAUAUGCUUGUACCC